rnacentral:rRNA from 1 species
UACGUAGGGGGCAAGCGUUGUCCGGAUUUAUUGGGCGUAAAGAGCGUGUAGGCGGCCUGACAGUUCUGCUGUGAAAACUCGAGGCUCAACCUCGAGCUGUCGGCGGAAACCAUCUGGCUAGAGUCCGGAAGAGGAGAGUGGAAUUCCUGGUGUAGCGGUGAAAUGCGCAGAUAUCAGGAAGAACACCUAUGGCGAAGGCAGCUCUCUGGGACGGUACUGACGCUGAGACGCGAAAGCGUGGGGAGCAAACAGG